AACGAACGCUGGCGGCAUGCCUAACACAUGCAAGUCGAACGAGACCUUCGGGUCUAGUGGCGCACGGGGGCGUAACGCGUGGGAACCUGCCCUUAGGUUCGGAAUAACUCCCCGAAAGGGGUGCUAAUACCGGUUAAUGUCUUCGGACCAAAGAUUUAUCGCCUUUGGAUGGGCCCGCGUUGGAUUAGCUAGUUGGUAGGGUAAUAGCCUAGCAAGGCGACGAUGCAUGGCUGGUCUGAGAGGAUGAUCAGCCACACUGGGACUGAGACACGGCCCAGACUGCGACGGGAGGCAGCAGUGGGGAAUAUUGGACAAUGGGCCAUAGCGUGAUCCAGCAAUGCCGGGUGAGUGAUGCAGGCCUUAGGGUUGUAAAGCUCUUUUUCCCGGGGUGAGAAUGACAGUACCGGGAGAAUAAGCACCGGCUAACUACGUG
rnacentral:rRNA from 1 species